rnacentral:rRNA from 1 species
UACAGAGGUCUCAAGCGUUGUUCGGAUUCAUUGGGCGUAAAGCGCGCGUAGGCGGGGCGGAAAGUCCGCUGUGAAAGCCCGAGGCUUAACCUCGGCGGGUCGGUGGAUACUUCCGUUCUUGAAGGUACUAGGGGGAGAUGGAAUUACCGGUGUAGCGGUGAAAUGCGUAGAUAUCGGUAGGAACACCAGUGGCGAAGGCGGUCUCCUGGGGCAUUCUUGACGCUGAGGCGCGAAAGCUGGGGGAGCGAACGGG